GUGGAUUAGAUACCCUGGUAGUCCUAGCUGUAAACGAUGUGAACUUGGCGUCGGCGGCUUCAAAACCGUCGGUGCCGUAGCUAACGCGAUAAGUUCACCGCCUGGGGACUACGGCCGCAAGGUUAAAACUCAAAGGAAUUGACGGGUCCCCGCACAAGCAGCGGAGCGUGUGGUUUAAUUCGAUGUUACACGAAGAACCUUACCAAGGCUUGACAUGCAAGUGGUAGGAAACCGAAAGGCGACCGACCCUUCGGGGAGCUUGCACAGGUGCUGCACGGCUGUCGUCAACU
rnacentral:rRNA from 1 species